GACGAACGCUGGCGGCGUGCCUAAUACAUGCAAGUUGAGCGCUGAAGGUUGGUACUUGUACCAACUGGAUGAGCAGCGAACGGGUGAGUAACGCGUGGGGAAUCUGCCUUUGAGCGGGGGACAACAUUUGGAAACGAAUGCUAAUACCGCAUAAAAACUUUAAACACAAGUUUUAAGUUUGAAAGAUGCAAUUGCAUCACUCAAAGAUGAUCCCGCGUUGUAUUAGCUAGUUGGUGAGGUAAAGGCUCACCAAGGCGAUGAUACAUAGCCGACCUGAGAGGGUGAUCGGCCACAUUGGGACUGAGACACGGCCCAAACUCCUACGGGAGGCAGCAGUAGGGAAUCUUCGGCAAGGGACGAAAGUCUGACCGAGCAACGCCGCGGGAGUGAAAAAGGUUCUCGGAUCGUAAAACUCGGUUGGUAGAGAAGAACGUUGGUGAGAGUGGAAAGCUCAUCAAGUGACGGUAACUACCCAGAAAGGGACGGCUAACUACGUG
rnacentral:rRNA from 1 species